rnacentral:rRNA from 1 species
GACGAACGCGGGCGGCGUGCUUAACACAUGCAAGUCGAACGGUGAAGGGACCAGCUUGCUGGUUCUGGAUGAGUGGCGAACGGGUGAGUAACACGUGAGUAACCUGCCCCCUUCUUCUGGAUAACCGCAUGAAAGUGUGGCUAAUACGGGAUAUUCUGGGUCUGUCGCAUGGCGGGCCCGGGAAAGAUGCGCCUUUGGGUGUUUUUGGUGGGGGAUGGGCUCGCGGCCUAUCAGCUUGUUGGUGGGGUGAUGGCCUACCAAGGCGGUGACGGGUAGCCGGCCUGAGAGGGUGGACGGUCACACUGGGACUGAGACACGGCCCAGACUCCUACGGGAGGCAGCAGUGGGGAAUAUUGCACAAUGGGCGCAAGCCUGAUGCAGCGACGCCGCGUGAGGGACGGAGGCCUUCGGGUUGUGAACCUCUUUCGCCGGUGGAGAAGGCGCCCCCGUGUGGGGUGCUGACU